AAAUUGAAGAGUUUGAUCAUGGCUCAGAUUGAACGCUGGCGGCAGGCCUAACACAUGCAAGUCGAACGGUAGCACAGAGAGCUUGCUCUUGGGUGACGAGUGGCGGACGGGUGAGUAAUGUCUGGGAAACUGCCUGAUGGAGGGGGAUAACUACUGGAAACGGUAGCUAAUACCGCAUAACGUCGCAAGACCAAAGAGGGGG
rnacentral:rRNA from 1 species